CAGUCGCCACGGGAAUACGUAGGGUGCAAGCGUUAAUCGGAAUUACUGGGCGUAAAGCGUGCGCAGGCGGUUUGUUAAGACAGAUGUGAAAUCCCCGGGCUCAACCUGGGAACUGCAUUUGUGACUGGCAGGCUAGAGUAUGGCAGAGGGGGGUGGAAUUCCGCGUGUAGCAGUGAAAUGCGUAGAUAUGCGGAGGAACACCGAUGGCGAAGGCAGCCCCCUGGGCCAAUACUGACGCUCAUGCACGAAAGCGUGGGGAGCAAACAGGAUUAGAUACCCCUGUAGUCCCUGUCUCUUAUAC
rnacentral:rRNA from 1 species